rnacentral:rRNA from 1 species
AGGACGAACGCUGGCGGCGUGCCUAACACAUGCAAGUCGAGCGGAGUCAGUAAGAGGAAGUUUCGGAUGGAAUCUUGUUGAUUUAGCGGCGGACGGGUGAGUAACGCGUGAGCGACCAACCUUGCACAGGGGGAUAACGGACCGAAAGGUUCACUAAUACCGCAUGAGACCACGGUGUUGCAUGACACAGGGGUCAAAGGAGCAAUCCGGUGCAAGACGGGCUCGCGUCCGAUUAGGUAGUUGGAGGGGUAACGGCCCACCAAGCCUAUGAUCGGUAGCCGACCUGAGAGGGUGAUCGGCCACAUUGGAACUGAGAUACGGUCCAAACUCCUACGGGAGGCAGCAGUGGGGAAUAUUGGGCAAAUGGGGGAAACCCUGACCCAGCAACGCCGCGUGAAGGAAGAAGGUUUUCGGAUUGUAAACUUCUGUCCUUGGUGAAGAGAAGAAGACGGUAGCCAAGGAGGAAGCCCCGGCUAACUACGUGCCAGCCGCAGC